AGAUUCAGAAGCAGAGUCCCACCUGGGUCACCAAAACUGUCACCGAAAUAGGAAAUAAAACUCCUUAACACCAAUGUAGCAUUAAGAAGCAGGCAUUCUCUUUAUUAUGGCGCCGGGUGCAUGGGGGAUCGCUCUGCCCAAUGUGCAUGCCAUAUGUUGCAUUAGCCAAAGUUUAUAUUCCUCUGUUACAUACAUAUAUGCAUUAAAUUUCCAGGAAUGAUUAUACAUAUUCAUUCUAUUUCCUGGAACUAAUCACCAUAUUUACAUAGUCAUUACACAUGCGGUCUGAGUCUCUGGGGGUCUUCUGUGGGGGUCUCUGGUGGUCCCUGGUGGUCCCUAGUGGUUGCUGAAGAGGUGCCUUUUCCAUGAACUCUGAGCUCCUUUUCCAUAUAUGGUCUCGGCUUGGCUCAUUUCUUUGCUUGAGAAAGCUGUAUUCCUCCUAACCUUGGUUUCACCUGGUUUCUGCUGGUUUAUCUGUACCCCCUUAGGAUGUAUCAGUGAGAGCUGCGAGAACUGUAUCCUUGGGUGCAUUCUUGUCUGAAGCUCCUGGUAACAAAGUGACCAGCACUGGCCUAACAGGCACUGAGGAACAAAUGACCUCAUAACCACAAACAACAGACACAUCACCAGCACAGGCCUGUCAGGCACUGAGCCACAAGUGACCUCACAACCACAAACAGCAUCCACCUGACCAGCACUGGCCUAUCAGGCACCGAGGCUCAAGUGACCUCACAACCACAAACAAAAACAACAUGACCAGAACUGACCUAACAGCAACUGAGGCACAAGUGACCUCACAACCACUAACAGGAGGCAGAUGACCAGCAACGGCCUAUCAGGCACUGAGGCACUGGUAACCUCACAACCACAAACUGCACCCACAUGACCAGCACUGGCCUAUCAGGCACUGAGCCACAAGUGACAUCACAAACACAAACUGCACCCACAGGACCAGCACUGGCCUAUCAGGCACUGAGGCACAAGCAUCACCAAAGCUAUGGGCAUGCUGUUGGCCUACCAGAUUCAGAGGCACAACUCACCUCACAAGCACAAAUGGCAUCGACCUGCCUGCUGCUGCCCUAUCUGGGACCGAGUCACAAGGGAUCUGAAAAGUGCAAGCUCACCUGGGCCACUCUCACAUCCUUCGAUUACGCUGUGAUCACUCCA
ensembl:lncRNA